rnacentral:lncRNA from 1 species
CUUAGUGAAGAUAGUCAGACCUCGUGGGAUGGAAAUAGAGGCUGAACAGCACACAGAGAUGCAGAGCCAUCCUGUGAAUAUUUUGGUCUAAGCUGGGGUAAGUCCUUUUCUCAAGGUCCUGACCAGGUCCUUAGGAAUAUGCUGAGCUUAAAACCCUUCCCUUUAAGUUUUUGAAUCUCAAAGAAAAGUGUCCUUUGGAGAUGUUGGAUGAAAGUUGAACAUCGGUAGGUGAAACUCUUUGAGCACUUUGCAAACUACUGCAGCCAGACAGCUCUUUGCAUGAAUUCUGAACUGAAGAAUGUCAUUCAAAUUCUUCUGGGCCCAUUUUCUACCACUCCAAAAGGAAAUGCCCAGAGGAAGGGAAGCCUUGGGAAAACAGAAAUAUUAGGAGGAAGCUGUGAUUUCCAAAUGGCAAGACAGCCCCACCAUCAAUACUUGAAGUUGGUAAGGGCUCCCCUUCUGACAUUAGCAUCUAUUAUCUUCCUGGCUGAAUUCUUCCCUAAAGGGCGCUCGGCAUCCCUAGGUGGUUGCCAGUGUCAAGGCAACCUCACCAACUGUGAAGGUAUCCUGAGCUCCUGGAACAGGCAGAAAAGAAACCUGGCAGGAAGAUUUGGAGGUGGCUGCAAGCUGGCCUGACUUCUGCAGUGAAACAAGUCCCAGGAGCUGGAGGUACACCAUGCUGAGCUCCUGUUUCCUUGGUAGUAAGAGGAGGGGGACUUCCUGGCCUAAGACACAUCUUUCAGGUUGGAGUUGUAAUGACAGUGGUAAUUUUCAACUGUGGAUUAUUGUAAGCUGUUCCAAGCAAGCAUGGAUGACUCCAUUUCAUGGACUGCAGAAAUUCUGUGCCUGUCCUGUCCAGUGAUUGAGUCAUAUCUGGUGCAGGGUAUGGACAAAACAUCUGUAAAAGAAACAGCCCGUAGUAUACAAUAAGAAGGUAAAGAUGUCAAAUAUUUUUAUCUUUUAUUUUUCAGGUAACAAAAAUAUUUUUUUUCCAGACAAAAUCUCCCUUGGAAAUUCACUAUACUAUAUGUAA